CCCAGGCUAAGGUGCUGCUACUUGCAUAGUUUAGUCACUAAGGUAGCCACUAACUAAACUGACUGCUUAGUUGACGCAUUUUUCUGGCCCUCCUACCGCUCUGCGGCAACUGUUUUGCCCACGGACAUGCGUGGCUGCCUAUCCACAUUGCGUGCCUACUUAACAUUCAGAUGUUUUGUGCCUCUCGCAGAGGGAAAUGUCUCAUAAAUAUGAUUUAUACGUAGAGUAUAUAAGGCUGUAAAUAACCUAAUGUACA
rnacentral:lncRNA from 1 species